rnacentral:rRNA from 1 species
GCAAGUCGAACGCUUUUUCUUUCACCGGAGCUUGCGCCACCGAAAGAAAAAGAGUGUCGAACGUGUGAGUAACACGUUGGUAACCUGCCCAUCAGAAGGGGAUAACACUUGGAAACAGGUGCUAAUACCGUAUAACACUAUUUUCCGCAUGGAAGAAAGUUGAAAGGCGCUUUUGCGUAACUGAUGGAUGGAGCCGCGGUGCAUUAGCUAGUUGGUGAGGUAACGGCUCACCAAGGCAACGAUGCAUAGCCGACCUGAGAGGGUGAUA